AGCGAACGCUAGCGGCAGGCUUAACACAUGCAAGUCGAGCGCCAGGUUUCGGCCUGGAGCGGCGAACGGGUGAGUAACACGUAGGUCACGUACCCUAUGGUGGGGAAUACCCCGGGGAAACUCGGAUCAAUGCCCCAUAUGUCCGAAAGGAUGAAAGCGCUUCGGCGCGCCAGAGGAUCGGCCUGCGGCCCAUUAUUUAAUCCUAGUUGGUGAGGUAACGGCUCACCAAGGGUACGAUGGGUAGCUGGUCUGAGAGGACGAUCAGCCACACUGGAACUGAGACACGGUCCAGACUCCUACGGGAGGCAGCAGUGGGGAAUAUUGGACAAUGGGCGAAAGCCUGAUCCAGCCAUGCCGCGUGAGUGAUGAAGGCCUUCGGGUUGUAAAGCUCUGUCGUGGGGGAAGAAGUUCUGACGGUACCCCACAAGAAAGCACCGGCUAACUUCGUGCCAGCCGCCGCAGUAACAC
rnacentral:rRNA from 1 species